AAUCAGUAGGCUUAUAAUUGAAGUCUAGUAUGAAAGGGAAUUCGGGAAGUGGCUGUCUUGUAUAAAGAACUAGAAUUUAUUUAUUAGGUGAAAAUCCCUAAAAAUUAGAAAAAAGACGAGAAGACCCUAGAAAUUUUAUUAAAAUAAUCCUUUAAUUUUGUUGGGGCGACAUGGUAACAAAUAACUUACCCAAUUAAUAGGAAACUUUUAAGUGGUAUAAGUAAAUUACUCUAGGGAUAACAGCAUAAUAUUUUAAAGUUUGUGACCUCGAUGUUGGACUAGGGAGUGAAGUAUUUAAAAGAUACUUUAAUAGGCU
rnacentral:rRNA from 1 species